rnacentral:lncRNA from 10 species
GGCAGGCCCUGCUAGACGUGUAUAGGAAGCUCCCAGGUCAGUGUACACAGAAGGUGCUCCAUAAACAUCUUCUGAAUGGAUGGGCAAAUAAAACAAGCAAGCACAGGGAUGGGACUGAUACAGACCCGGAAAACACUCCCCAGCCUAUAGCCAAACAUUGUUGUGUGCUUCUGAAAUCUUGGGAGAUGAAAGGAAUCCUCAGGCAAAGCCCUCCUGUUCCCAGCCCCAAGUCGGUUAAACCCAUGUUAAAUCUAUAGGUUGAAGACCUGGAUCAUUCGAAGCCCAGAGCCUUGCACAGCAGCGAUCUGCUCCAACAGAGGGUGAUGUCAUCAUCCGAGGCCACACAAAUAAUGCAUUUCUCACCAUCAAAAAGCUUCUGAAGCCAUGUUCUCAAAGGCAAAAAAUAAAUAAAUAAAUAACCAAUUAACUACACCAGUGUAAGGGUGAAACAAGUUCUUAUCUGAUAAAACUGACUUAUAAACACAGGUUAUCUCUUCCCCCUUUGAAACAGCCUCACUGUAUUUAAAUGAAAUGCGCUACAAUUUGGAAAAAUG